CUCCUACCACUUCCCCUCCAGCACCCUCCAUUUGUCGUCUAUUCUUAAGAGUCUGUUUUCUGGUUUUCCUCUCUUUUUUCCCCCCAUGUACAUCUGUUUUGUUUCUUAAAUUUAAACGAAUAUUUGCUUUACAGAUCCAUGCUCUGCCUUGUAAACCACAAAAAAAAAAAAAAAAAAAAAAAAAAAACCUGGAACACAAAAGAGACCAACAGGUACUAGUGCAUAGAACGUGGUGGCAUCAUUCUCUUUGUUCUAGGCUUCUCAUCAACACAUUCAACUUCAUUUGUCAUCCAUCAGCCACGGACUUCCCCACGUGUACAUUCAGUCCAAAACUCUCUUCUAAACCUAAGUACGUGAUCAGUUUAAAGCCCUAUGAAUAGCUCAAAAGGUCACCGUGCCAGGAAAUCAGUUCACUCUGCCUCCAUCAUCCACCACUAUCACCACACACACCUUCAGAUGGUUCACUCCUCUUCAGACCUGAAUUUUAACAUCAUGCUGUUGUAGGUUCUCCCCCAAUCCACCCAAGAUGAGAUCAGAUCUCAUUGUCAUGCAGCAUAGUGGUAUCAGUAAUUUUUUUAGUAGUACAAGCUAUUUGUAACUGUGCAUAAUUGUUUCAUAAUUGUCAUACUGGAAUGCAAGCUCAUGAGAAUUGAGACUUUAUCUUGUUUUUAUUGUUCUUGUAUCCCUUAUACUUAUUACAGGCUAGACACAGGCAUUAGUACUUGAAUGAAUGAAUGAAUAAAUGAAUGUGGAAGUGAUUAAGACAGAGAAAGAAUGAUACAAAACGCAGUAAGAUUUCAAAGGUGAAAGAGAUUCACUCACUCCUAACUUCACUGCUUAGAGAAAGUUUUAUGGAAAAUAUGACAACUGAAAUGUAUCUUUAAAAGAUGUUGGGGAUUUUGACAGAGAUGGGUGAAGUAUGUUACAGUUUGAUCAAAAUGGUUUAGCAAGAACUAAAAGUACUGCAUUAAAGUAGUGAAAGAUAAGUGUAGGAGUUAUACACCAUGUAUUCUACUCCCUUUAAAGUCAUACUGAAAAGCCUACCUCAGGAAGAGAAGAAAUCAUAACUCUGUGGUCUAGCAAUUGAGUUGAAGAUGACAAUCACUAAAUUAAGAUUAACGUAGCUGCUAGUAAUUUAGAAAUAGUUCUUUAUCAAUUGAUAUUCAGUUACUAAACAAUCAUGAACAAGAAAACAUAAAAUAUAUGAGUUGAAAUGGAUUCAUAGAUCAUCUAGCACCUGGACAGACGAAGAUGAGGUCUAGCUUGACGAAGCGACAUGCACAAAUUCACAAAAUGGGUGAGUGAUAAAGUUGAGAACUCCGAUCUCUCCAUUGCCAGCUAAGUACAUAGGGCAAAAAAAGGCCCCGCAAGAAAAACACUUGCCAGGCAUAAGUUCAUAUCAUACUUAGCAAUACUCAUCAAUAUAAAGAACUGCCUGCUGCUACACACAAGUAAGUAAUAAAUCUCAAAACCUUAUGUUGAACAAAUGAGCCCAGAUACAAAAGCAUAUAUUCUGUAUGCUUCCCUUAUAAGAAGUUCUAAAACAUCAAAAACACAUCUGUGAUGAUGAAAAUGAAAAUAGUGUAUAGAGUUAGGCAAGGGGGGGUUAAUGGAGAAAGAAACUCAAGAAAUAUCUGGGGUAAUGAGGCAUUACAUAUCUUGAUUGGAGUAGGGGUUAAGUGGGUUUACACAUUUAUCAAAAUGUGUAGUAAUGAAGCAUUGAAACUCGUGUUUUGUAAGGAAUGUAAAUUAUACCUCGAUAAGGGGAACUUGGGUGGCCCAGUUGGUUAAUAAACUCUUGAUUUCUGCUCAGGUCAUGAUGCCAGGGGCGUGAGAUCGAGCCCCAUAUCAAGCCUGC